GCGCCGCUAGCUCAGCUGGAUAGAGCGUCUGACUACGGAUCAGAAGGCCGGGUGUUCGAAUCAUCCGCGGCGCGCCA
rnacentral:tRNA from 2 species